rnacentral:rRNA from 1 species
GCGGCGGACGGGUGAGUAACACGUAGGCAACCUGCCCGUAAGACCGGGAUAACAUAGGGAAACUUAUGCUAAUACCGGAUAGGGCGUUCUCUCGCAUGAGAGAAUGCGGAAAGGUGGCGCAAGCUACCACUUACGGAUGGGCCUGCGGCGCAUUAGCUAGUUGGUGGGGUAACGGCCUACCAAGGCGACGAUGCGUAGCCGACCUGAGAGGGUGACCGGCCACACUGGGACUGAGACACGGCCCAGACUCCUACGGGAGGCAGCAGUAGGGAAUUUUCCACAAUGGGCGAAAGCCUGAUGGAGCAACGCCGCGUGAACGAUGAAGGCCUUCGGGUUGUAAAGUUCUGUUGUUAGGGACGAACAAGUGCCGUUCGAAUAGGGCGGCACCCUGACGGUACCUAACGAGGAAGCCACGGCUAACUACGUGCCAGCAGCCGCGGUAAUACGUAGGUGGCAAGCGUUGUCCGGAAUUAUUGGGCGUAAAGCGCGCGCAGGCGGUUAU